UCUGAUGGGUUGCAAAAAUAAGACAGCAGCAAUGGGGAGAGUUGAUCAAGAAUGAAGAAUAAAUCCCAAUUGUGAAGGCCUCCAUCACUUCAACUAAGGCAAGAAGCUUGCAGGCUGGCAGUUUGCCAGGUGGAAAAACCAGAGGAGAAGACUGCAGACGGCAACCAUUGGGAACAGUUCCUGGC